GGCUGUAUUCGUUCCUUAUUCGCUUGUAAUUCGUGUGUUUUACAUUGCACUUCUAAAAAAAAUCAGUUCAAUUUUUGUUCCGUUUCUGGUGUUAGCUACGGGUACUUAGAGGUGAAAUUACUCUAUGUGCGCGUAUGUAUCCGUUUCAGCGCUCGACUGAUACCCUGUUACUUAUUCGUUCCUUGUUUGCUUGUAAUACGUGUGUUGUGCGUUGCACUUUUAAAAAAAAAUCUUUUCAAUUUUUGUCUUGUUUCUGUUGUUAGCUAUGGGUUCUUAUGGGUGAAAUAACCCUAUUAGCGCGUAUGUACCCGUUUCAGCGCUCGACUUAUACCCUGUUACUUAUUCGUUCCUUGUUUGCUUGUAAUACGUGUGUUAUAC
rnacentral:lncRNA from 1 species